rnacentral:misc_RNA from 1 species
AAGUCAUAACAAGGUCUUCAUUAAUGAACCAGCGAAGGGAUCAUUACUAAGUCACAUGCUCAAACAACCCUUCUAUGGACCUGAAUUAAACCAUUGCCUCGGCGGGCAGUCCCCUGCCAAAACCCACAUGGUUAUGGACAAAGGACCAAACAGUCCAGCACACUUAAGGCAUCCAACACCAGCCACUGGCCCUAACCAAUUAAACUCUAGUAACCUUACCUUCUGAGUUUUAAUACAAAAAAAAAUAAGUCAAAACUUUCAACAAUGGAUCUCUUGGCUCUG